GGUCCGGUUCUCGCUCCGCCGCGCGGGCUUGCCCGGCAGAUUGGGCGGGCAGCAAAAAAAUACCAUUACCGAGGGAUCAAGUGCGUAUGCGUCUACGGCGGUGGCAGUCGGCGAGAGCAGAGUCUUCGACAUUGUCAUAUCCUGUAUAUGUGGCUACCUUCAACAUCGGCAUGUUUAAAGCACGUCGACGCUUCUGAGUCGUGGCAACUAGGGCCAUUGGAGACUUCCCACCAAAAAAAAUAAGCUGAAUGCACUUGGAAAGCACAUGUCCAGAGGUGGAGGGAAAAGUUGUUCGUUGCCAUCACCCAAACUGCCACCGCCUCCUCCCCGCCGGAAACCACCACCUCGAAGACCAUGGCAACAUCCUCCCUCGGAACAGGCUGGCUGCCGAUGGGAAUCAUGGCUGGCAGCAGCAAUGCCAGAGUCUAAAAUUUUUAAUUAUCGUAAAAAUUUUUAAUUAUCGGUGCGAGAGAGGCCCAGCGCUUCUUCGCAUCUUCGUCGCUCUUGGCAAGCAGCUUGUCCCAGUUGAGCAAAGGCGGCGGUUCUUCGCUUUUGCUGGAGCAUGCUGGUUCUUCCGGCGGAUGGACGAUCGCGUCGAUGAGCUCGCGGGCCUUGCGACACGCCUCUUCGGGGUCCGAGAGCUUGAUCUUGGUCUCGAAGUAAUUAUCUGCGUCGUCUUUCUUGACCCAGAUGUACGCACCACUGGAAUCCUGAAGCUCGUGGAUCCUGGAACCUCCUUUGCCAAUGAUCCUGGCGACAUCUUUGACUGGCACCACGAUCACUUCAGCAUCUGGGCGCGAUGCAUUGGGUCGUUGAUAGUUACCCAGGCCAUGGCCCCGACCAGACGUGCCGCGGGUGCCUCCUUUGCCGUAACACCCGAGUUUUGAAGUCGGCUGCGAAGGCAGAGGAGCGUAUUCAUCCUCGAUCCACUCUUUAUCUCUGUUCUUCGAAGCAGCAUCCACAAGAGUGGAGACAGCGUUCCCUGGCCGAUGGACGGUUGUGGUGUGAAGCUCGUCAGAUGUGGGCCUUGUGGCGGAUGGACUACAACCAACACAAGUGCCUAAAGACUUCAUAGUCGAGAAACGUCAUUCACAAAACCUGGGCACUUGUAGAUAUGCAUGCUUCCACCAACACCUCUUUAACAAAAAUAUAUCACAACAUGUAUGAAAUAAAUGAGUUCAAUUGCAUGCCAUA